GGCCACACCCAUGGCAUAUGGAGGUUCCCUGGCUAGGGGUCCAAUCGGAGCUACAGCUAUUGGCCUACAUCACAGCCACAGCAACGCCAGAUGCAAGCCGCUUCUGCAACCUACACCACAGCUCAUGGCAAUGCCGGAUCCUUAACCCCCAAGCAAAGCCAGGGAUUGAACCAGCAACCUCAUGGUUCCUAGUCGGAUUUGUUUCCACUGCACCACAAUGGGAACUCCUCUCCUGGCAUUUUUUAUAACCAUGGAUUUAAAAAAGAAAAAAAUUAUAAUAAUUGUUUAAUUCUGCCUCUGCUGAUGCCUCCUGAGGGUAUUGAUCAUGCCUGUGUCAACUUCCUCUCAUUCCCUAGUUUCUAGCCCAACACUAGGCACAACUCAGGUGUCUGUGAAAUAUUCAACCAAUGGAAAAAUGAUAAAUGGAACAGAAUCUAGCUAUCGGACCACAGAAAUAGAAAACAGAUUUUCAUAAAAGGCAACAUGGUUUUGAUUAUUAUCUGCAAUUCCAAAGAAACUGCAAAUAAAUUCUUAAAAUCGAAGUAGAAUGCAAUUGUUUGAGUCGUUGAUUGAACUCAUUAGUUUCACUUAUUUGUCUUAUAUUUUAACAUUUUUUAUUUAAGUAUUUAUUGAGCAUCCACCAUGUGGUGUGCAGUGAUGCCGAGAAGAUGAAUAAGGUAGCCCCAGCAGUCCACAAGAAACUCAAAGGCUGGCAAAUGGAUAAAAAUCAUUACAGUUUAAUACGGAAACUGCUGCAGGACUAAUAGACAAACUGUUGUUGGACCCAGAGGAGCUAAUAAUCAGUCUCAACCUUGUAUAAUCAGGAUUUUUACCAGUCUAUCCAUAAAUGGAAAUAGACUAGGCAGAGAAAAAACAUACGUGGAGGCAUGCAGGUAUGUACAAUUUGCAGGGCUAUGUGCUCAGUUAAUACCCUGCAAAAAGGAACGUGGCAUGAGUACACACUUUCCAAUAGGUGCAGGCAGCUUACAAUGUGAUAAACACACAGUAAACUAUCAAAAUAAGAGCAAAAGAACAUCAAAAUGUGACUCAAAUAAACGAUGGACAGAAAAUCAAGAAAAAAACACUUGACUGAAAAUAAGCAAAAAAUUUGGCUCUGAAUUUUUUGGCAGCAAAGAUAAAAAUAUAAUAAUUUGAAAGGAAGAAAACCAAAUGAUCUUUCUUAACAUGAUAUUAUUAAUUAAUUCAUUAAGCUUUUCACUAAUAUAAACUCAAAGAGGAAUUUACGACCCAAAUCUUGGUUUGUAUUUGUUUCACAUUAGGGUCUAGGUCUACAAUGGCAACUUAGAGAGCAAGUUGAAAAUGCUUUUUAGGCAUGCUUUAAAAAAAAUCUUCCUUUAAAAAUUGGAUUCAUUUUCUGAUUAUAAACUAAUGUAUGCCUUCUAUAGAAUACUUGGAAAUUAUGAUGAGGGAUAAAGAAGAAGAAGAAUUUCCUAAAAUCAUACUACUUAGAGAUGUCACUGACAAGACUUACAUGUACUCACUUCCUGUCCUUUUUCUCCAUAAGGUCAUAGCUCCAUGAAUGUCUAUGUUAUCUAAGUGAGAUUUCCCUUAAUCUCAUGGCUGACUUUUCAGACUAUACAACUUCGAUGCAAAUUUAGUACUUUCAAAAACAUCCCUCAAAUAGCAAAUCCAAGGAGUGUAUGUUUAUAAUGAAGAUUUUUAGAGAAUAUGCAGAAACUUCUCCAUAAAAGUCUUUACAACUUAACUGAAGACUGGUGGCCUUAAAACAAUGGAUUCCAUUGCACAGGGCAUAGCACUUUUCUCCACACUUUCAUAGUUGGGUUUCCUCUUCCAAAGUUGCCCCUUCCAUUUCUCAUUGUCUUAUUCUGUCUUGACAUCUAACAACCAGGGUCACAGACAACUGCCACAGAAUGCAUGCACAGGCACAUGUGUGCACGCGCGCACACACACACACACACACACACACACACACAGUCUACACUCCAGAGUUUCACAAAGUAUGGGAAAUUAUACAGAUGUUUUAUCCACAUUUCUACCUUCUCAUCUUUAUAACACAAAAGGGAUGUAUAAAAUAUAUUUAACCAUUCUUCUAUUCUUGGGACUAGUGAAACAAAGACUUUGUAUGUGUGUUUUUUCUCCAUAAAUAUUGUUAUGGAGAAAUUCUUGUGUAUAAACAAUUGAAGGCAGCUCUGAUUAUAUCUCUAAGGCUAUUGACUAUUUGUUAGAAGGAUGGAUAAAGAUGGAGCUCAAGGCAGCUCUGAUUAUAUCUCUAAGGCUAUUGACUAUUUGUUAGAAGGAUGAGUAAGGAUGGAGCUCACAUCCCUACCAACAUUGUAUUGAUUCUUAUUUUUAAAAAGACAUAUAAUACUUAUCUAAAAUAAUUAAAGUUCAUUUAAGCUAAAAUUUUGUCUAUUUUCAGAACUAUUUUCAUCCAGCAAAGAAGCUACUUUCUCUGCUGGGAACUAUAGUGCUGCUAUCUCUAAGGGGUUGGAAAUUUUCUAGCAAGUCUCACACAAGUAAAUAUGUUUCUCUCUAGUCAAGAAGGAAAUAAAUAUGUGAGGAAGGGAACUUGCCUAACGUUUUGAAAGAGUCCUGUGAAAACCUCCAGAAUUGGAGCUCUCAGCAGCUUUAAUUCUACUCUCCCACUUCCUAGCAGGUUCGAGCCACUCCAGACCCCCUCUCAAGCCUUCUCUUCCUGCCCCCUCCUUGGAUUCUCCUCUUGUUUGCCCACCUGUCACAUUUCUUGUCCUUCCGCCCUUCACAGUUCAAGUUCUCCCCACUCAGCUCCAAAACCAGAGCUUACAGUAGAGCAAGUUAAGGCAAGAAAGAACAGCUUUCAUUACCUGGAGCCAAUUACAUUUUUUCUUUCUCCAUUUAUGCCCGGAAGAUAUAUGGUAAAACAAUUAGAAAUAAAAUUAACAAAUGACUUUAUGUUUUCUGCUUCCUUGCUGUCCUGAGAUUCUGUUGAAAAAGGGGAGAUCCAUCAGUCUUCCAUUGCCUUUUUCUUUCUUUCUUUUCUUUUUUUUUUCUUUUUUUUUUUUUUUUUUUGUAUUUUUGAAUUUUUAGGGCCGCACCUGCGACAUAUGGAGAUUCCCAGGCUAGGAAUCCAAUCAGAGCUGCUGUUGCCGGCCUAUGCCAGAGCCAUAGCAAUGCCAGAUCCGAGCCGCGUCUGUGACCUACCCCACAGCUCAGGGCAAUGCUGGAUUCUUAACCCACUGAGCAAGGCCAGGGAUUGAACCUACAACCUCAUGGUUCCUAGUCAGAUUUGUUUCUGCUGCGCCACGACAGGAACUCCCAGUCUUCCAUCCUUAAAUCUGCAUGUUCAACUACCCACUAAAUGACACUUUUCAAAAUUUUUUCUUCUUUUUUGUAGUAUUUUAUAUUGACACGUUACUUAAUGUGUUAAUUUUCCUUAUGAUUCACUUUAAAUUGAUUCAGUUUAAAUGCUUAUGAUUUACAAGGAAUUUUUAAAUGCUUUGAUAUAAAUAUUUAUUUCCAAUAACAGUCUAUGGAAAUUAUUUCUGUACUUGGCUCCUCAUUAUAAUUUUAUUUUCAGUAAAUCACAUGUGAAGAGGACAAGAUGGCGGAGGAGUAGGGGGACACGCUCGCCCUCUCCCACAAACACAACAAAAAAAGCACAUCUACAGAAGAAAUGACUCGCACAGAACAGCAACCAAUCGCUGGCAGAGGAACCUAAACUCCAAUAAUGGCAAGAAGUUCGUGACAUUAUUGGGCAGAACGGGAGAAAAGAGGAGAGUGAGAGAAGGUGAAUCCGAGGGGGACGGGCGCUCCCGAAAGGGAACUGCGGAGGAGAAAGGGAUCCUGCACCCUGGAAAGUCUCCUACCGGGCGAAAGAUCAAAUGAACCGGAGGAAUCCCCAGAUGCAGAGAAGAGUGUAGCAGUAAGUCGGAGUACGGAAAAACGGAUCAAGAACCCAACGGACCAUCUGAACUACGGGCACAGUCACCAAAAAUUGAGACGCCUGGGUGGGGGCUGGGCACCGAAUCCUCGGCUCCAGAGGUUAGUCCCCGGGAAAGGGCCGGGGGACGCCUGGGUGGGGGCUGGGCACCAAGACCUCGCCUCUGAAGGUUGGUCCCCGAGAGGGGGCCGGGGGACGCCUGGGUGGGGGCUGGGCACCGAGACCUCGCCUCCGAAGGUUAGUCCCCAAGAAAGGGCCAGGGGACGCCUGGGUGGGGGCUGGGCACCGAGACCUCGGCUCCAGAGAUUAGUCCCCGGGCUAGGGGGGCGGGGAAGAGCGGAAACUGCUUGGGAGGUCUCUAAACCAUUUGACGGGGCAGAGACUGCCUGGGAGACUAGAAAACAAAGCUGUCGCAGAGGAAGGGAGCAAUACUCUAGGGGCGGGGAAGUGGAAAGCCGCCUCAGAGGGAACCUGGGAGAAGAGCCUGGUCUGCGCCCGUGCUGGGGAGCGGAGAAAAGAAGGGGUGGGUUCCCAUAGAAUACCCCCCAUGCCACAGCAAGCUUACAGGCCCGCUAGCUAGCAGAAAGCUGUGCUUCCCAGUGCAUUCCCUCCCCCCACCCCCGCCACCCCCUACGCUCUCACCGAACCUGGGGCUGCCUGCCAUCCAGGAGGGCUGGCCUCAACAAUUGCCUGAAGCCUACCACCGCAGGGGCUGUCCCUGCACAGGCCUGCUUGCCCUUUGGAGGGGCUACACUUCCACAGAGCAGCACCAAACACCACCAGCCCCCUAGAAAAGGCCUGCAGCCCAGAAAAGCUAGAACAAGCCUAGCCAGGCCGUGAAUAGAUCGACCUAAUUCUCCGACGGUUUUUCUGAGACGGGCUCCCCCGGGGAGGAGCCUCUUGGGUCUCCAAGGGCCUUGCUACCCGCCCAAGACCCCAGGGGGUGCUAAGACCUAGUGGACCAGCUGCAUAGGACUGCCAGCUCCAGGCAGGACCCCCUGCAGCCCAGAAAAGCUGCAACAAGCCUGGCCGACUUAGGAAAAGAUCUCCGACGGUCUUUCUGAGUCGGGCUGCCCUGGGGAGGAGCCUCUUGAGUCUCCAAGGGCCCUGCUACCCGCCCAAGACCCCAAGGGGUGCUGAGACCUAGUGGACCAGCUGCAUAGGACUGCCAGCUCCAGGCAGGACCCCCUGCAGCCCAGAAAAGCUGCAACAAGCAUGGCCGAGUCGGGAAAAGAUCUCAGACGGUCUUUCUGAGUCGGGCUGCCCUGGGGAGGAGCCUCUUGAGUCUCCAAGGGCCCUGCUACCUGCCCAAGCCCCCAGGGAAUGCUGAGACCUAGUGGACCAGCUGCAUAGGACUGCCAGCU
rnacentral:lncRNA from 1 species